rnacentral:rRNA from 1 species
UNUGACUUGAGUGCAGAAGGGGAGAGUGGAAUUCCAUGUGUAGCGGUGAAAUGCGUAGAUAUAUGGAGGAACACCAGUGGCGAAAGCGGCUCUCUGGUCUGUCACUGACGCUGAGGCUCGAAAGCGUGGGUAGCGAACAGGAUUAGAUACCCUGGUAGUCCACGCCGUAAACGAUGAGUGCUAGGUGUUAGGCCCUUUCCGGGGCUUAGUGCCGGAGCUAACGCAAUAAGCACUCCGCCUGGGGAGUACGACCGCAAGGUUGAAACUCAAAGGAAUUGACGGGGGCCCGCACAAGCGGUGGAGCAUGUGGUUUAAUACGAAGCAACGCGAAGAACCUUACCAGGUCUUGACAUCCCGAUGCUAUUCUUAGAGAUAGGAAGUUACUUCGGUACAUCGGAGACAGGUGGUGCAUGGUUGACGUCAGCUCGUGUCGUGAGAUGUUGGGUUAAGUCCCGCAACGAGCGCAACCCUUAUUGUUAGUUGCCAUCAUUAAGUUGGGCACUCUAGCGAGACUGCCGGUAAUAAACCGGAGGAAGGUGGGGAUGACGUCAAAUCAUCAUGCCCCUUAUGACCUGGGCUACACACGUGCUACAAUGGUCGGUACAACGAGUUGCGAGCCGGUGACGGCAAGCUAAUCUCUGAAAGCCGAUCUCAGUUCGGAUUGGAGGCUGCAACUCGCCUCCAUGAAGUCGGAAUCACUAGUAAUCGCGGAUCAGCACGCCGCGGUGAAUACGUUCCCGGGCCUUGUACACACCGCC